AUUGAACGCUGGCGGCAGGCCUAACACAUGCAAGUCGAACGAGUGGCGGACGGGUGAGUAAUGUCUGGGAAACUGCCUGAUGGAGGGGGAUAACUACUGGAAACGGUAGCUAAUACCGCAUACCAUCAGAUGUGCCCAGGUGGGAUUAGCUAGUUGGUGGGGUAAAGGCUCACCAAGGCGACGAUCCCUAGCUGGUCUGAGAGGAGGAACAGCCACACUGGAACGGAGACACGGUCCAGACUCCUACGGGAGGCAGCAGUGGGGAAUAUUGCACAAUGGGCGAAAGCCUGAUGCAGCCAUGCCGCGUGUAUGAAGAAGGCCUUCGGGUUGUAAAGUACUUUCAGCGGAGAGGCGUUACCCGCAGAAGAAGCACCGGCUAACUCCGUGCCAGCAGCCGCGGUAAUAC
rnacentral:rRNA from 1 species